UGGGGAAGGACAGGAGCAGGGCUGAAGAGUACCUGCGUCAGGGCCUGAGCUACCUCAAGGACCCUGAGCCCAGUGUGCGAGAGGCGGCCAUCAGGUUCAUCGGGGUGGCCACGCGGCACCUGAGGAACCGAAACAAAGAGCAACUGGAUGAGAUCUGCAGUGCCCUUCAGCCCUUGAAGACAGACAGCAAUGUAGUCGUCUCUUCCCUGGCAGAACAGACCAUCGGCAUCCUGGAGGCUUUAGGACCAACACCAAGCCCUCGAUUCAGGCCAGAAGCACUGCUCUUCUGGCGCCGACGUUCACAGCCAUGAGGACCUUCCAACAUUCCCAGCCUCCCAGGAACUGUGUGAGACACCUGAGCUGACUCCUGGACAGAGGUUGUGAUGGUCCCUAAAAACCUGAUGUGACCAAACCUGAAGAAGACAAAGGCCAGCUCCUCCACUGAGGAUCUGGUGGA